rnacentral:rRNA from 1 species
CCUACGGGUGGCAGCAGUGGGGAAUAUUGCACAAUGGGGGGAACCCUGAUGCAGCAAUGCCGCGUGGGUGAAGAAGCACUCCGGUGCGUAAAGCCCUGUCAGCAGGGAAGACAAUGACAGUACCUGGACAAGAAGCCCCGGCUAACUACGUACCAGCAGCCGCAGUAAUACGGAGGGGGCAAGCGUUAGCCGGAUUUACUGGGUGAAAAGGGAGCGCGGGCGGCGUGCCAAGUCAGAUGUGAAAACCCGGGGCACAACCCCGGGAGUGGAUUUGAAACUGCCAUGCUGGAGUGCCGGAGAGGUAAGCGGAAUUCGUGGUGUAGCGGUGAAAUGCGUAGAUAUUAGGAGGAACACCAGUGGCGGAGGCGGCUUACUGGACGGUAACUGACGCUGAGGCUCGAAAGCGUGGGGAGCAAACAGGAUUAGAUACCCGGGUAGUC